UUGUUGGUAAGGUAAAAGCUUACCAAGGCUUCGAUCAGUAGCUGGUCUGAGAGGACGACCAGCCACACUGGGACUGAGACACGGCCCAGACUCCUACGGGAGGCAGCAGUGGGGAAUUUUGGACAAUGGGGGCAACCCUGAUCCAGCCAUGCCGCGUGAGUGAAGAAGGCCUUCGGGUUGUAAAGCUCUUUCAGCCGGAACGAAACGGUUACGGAUAACACCCGUGACUACUGACGGUACCGGAAGAAGAAGCACCGGCUAACUACGUGCCAGCAGCCGCGGUAAUACGUAGGGUGCGAGCGUUAAUCGGAAUUACUGGGCGUAAAGCGUGCGCAGGUGGUUUUGUAAGUCAGAUGUGAAAGCCCCGGGCUCAACCUGGGAACUGCGUUUGAAACUACAAGACUAGAGUGUGGCAGAGGGGGGUGGAAUUCCGCGUGUAGCAGUGAAAUGCGUAGAGAUGUGGAGAAACACCGAUGGCGAAGGCAGCCCCCUGGGUCAACACUGACGCUCAGGCACGAAAGCAUGGGGAGCAAACAGGAUUAGAUACCCUGGUAGUCCAUGCCCUAAACGAUGUCAACUAGUUGUCGGGCCUUUACGGGCUUGGUAACGUAGCUAACGCGUGAAGUUGACCGCCUGGGGAGUACGAUCGCAAGAUUAAAACUCAAAUGAAUUGACGGGGACCCGCACGAGCGGUGGAUUAUGUGGAUUAAUUCGAUGCAACGCGAAAAACCUUACCUACCCUUGACAUGUAUCGAAGCCCGCAGAAAAGCGGGGGUGCCCGAAAGGGAACGAUAACACAGGUGCUGCAUGGCUGUCGUCAGCUCGUGUCGUGAGAUGUUGGGUUAAGUCCCGCAACGAGCGCAACCCUUGUCAUUAAUUGCCAUCAUUUAGUUGGGCACUUUAAUGAGACUGCCGG
rnacentral:rRNA from 1 species